rnacentral:rRNA from 1 species
AAACGGUGGCUAAUACCGGAUGUGCCGAAAGGUGAAAGAUUUAUUGCCUAGAGAUGAGCUCGCGUCUGAUUAGCUAGUUGGUGUGGUAAGAGCGCACCAAGGCGACGAUCAGUAGCUGGUCUGAGAGGAUGAUCAGCCACACUGGGACUGAGACACGGCCCAGACUCCUACGGGAGGCAGCAGUGGGGAAUUUUCCGCAAUGGGCGAAAGCCUGACGGAGCAAUACCGCGUGAGGGAGGAAGGCUCUUGGGUUGUAAACCUCUUUUCUCAGGGAAUAAGAAAGUGAAGGUACCUGAGGAAUAAGCAUCGGCUAACUCCGUGCCAGCAGCCGCGGUAAUACGGAGGAUGCAAGCGUUAUCCGGAAUGAUUGGGCGUAAAGCGUCCGCAGGUGGCACUGUAAGUCUGCUGUUAAAGAGCAAGGCUCAACCUUGUAAAGGCAGUGGAAACUACAGAGCUAGAGUACGUUCGGGGCAGAGGGAAUUCCUGGUGUAGCGGUGAAAUGCGUAGAGAUCAGGAAGAACACCGGUGGCGAAAGCGCUCUGCUAGGCCGUAACU